UGGCGCCCGACCAGGGACCUGGAAACGAGGGACUCGGUGAGGAAGAGGACGCGAAAGAAGGGUCGACCGUUAACAAAGACAAAAGAAAUUAAAUUAUCAAAGGUAAGUGGCGCGUCCGAAAUGGGACAAGAAUUAAGUCAGCAUCAAAUUUAUGUAGGACAAUUAAAAGAGGCUUUAAAGAUACGAGGAGUAAAGGUUAAAGGUAAUGAUUUGUUUAAAUUUUUUGAUUUUGUAAAAGAUACUUGCCCUU
rfam:Papio anubis isolate 1X1155 chromosome 5, whole genome shotgun sequence.